AGAACCCCGGCGAGGGGAGUGAAAAAGAACCUGAAACCGUGUACGUACAAGCAGUGGGAGCACCCUUUGGGUGUGACUGCGUACCUUUUGUAUAAUGGGUCAGCGACUUAUAUUCUGUAGCAAGGUUAACCGAAUAGGGGAGCCGGAGGGAAACCGAGUCUUAACCGGGCGUUAAGUUGCAGGGUAUAGACCCGAAACCCGGUGAUCUAGCCAUGGGCAGGUUGAAGGUUGGGUAACACUAACUGGAGGACCGAACCGACUAAUGUUGAAAAAUUAGCGGAUGACCUGUGGCUGGGGGUGAAAGGCCAAUCAAACCGGGAGAUAGCUGGUUCUCCCCGAAAGCUAUUUAGGUAGCGCCUCGUGAAUUCAUCUCCGGGGGUAGAGCACUGUUUCGGCUAGGGGGCCAUCCCGGCUUACCAACCCGAUGCAAACUGCGAAUACCGGAGAAUGUUAUCACGGGAGACACACGGCGGGUGCUAACGUCCGUCGUGAAGAGGGAAACAACCCAGACCGCCAGCUAAGGUCCCAAAGUCAUGGUUAAGUGGGAAACGAUGUGGGAAGGCCCAGACAGCCAGGAUGUUGGCUUAGAAGCAGCCAUCAUUUAAAGAAAGCGUAAUAGCUCACUGGUCGAGUCGGCCUGCGCGGAAGAUGUAACGGGGCUAAACCAUG
rnacentral:rRNA from 1 species